ACAGCCUGGAGAGGGAUGGGGACAUCAUGGCCUUGUCACACAGUGUCACAGGGACAGGGCUGUGAGGGAUGGGGACAGCCUGGAGAGGGAUGGGGACACGGGGACGUGGGGUGGGGACAACCUGUAGAGGUGCUGGGACAUGGGGGGACAUGGGGAACAUGGGAUGGGAGGGAUGGGGACACUGUGGAACAGGGCUAUGAGACAUGGGGGACAGCCUGGAGAGGGAUGGGGACAUGGGGACAGGGCAGUGACAGAGGGGACAGAGUGUGGAGAGGGAUGGGGACACCGUGGCCUUGUCACACAGUGUCACAGGGACAGGGCUGUGAGGGGUGGGGACAGCCUGGGGAGGGAUGGGGACAUGGGGACAUGGGGUGGGAGGGAUGGGGACACUGUGGAACAGGGCUUUGAACCAAGGGGACAGCCUGGAGAGGGGUGGGGACACCAUGGCCAUGGGGACACAAGGACAUGGCAGUGAGGGACAGGGACACCAUGGCCUUGUCACACAGUGCCAUGGGGACAAGGCCAGGAGGGGUAAAGAGCCUGGAGAGGGACAGGGACACAGGGACAGGGGGAUGGGGACAUUUUGGGAUGGGGACAUUGGGAACAGGGACAUUUGAGAUGGGGACAUUGGGGACAGGGACAUUUUGGAAUGGGGACAGUUCGGCCGUGUCACUCAUCGUUCCUCAAGGGAUGGUGGCCUUUGGGGACAUUGGAGCUGCUCUGUGUCCCUUGUUCUUGUCCCCAAGGUGACCUUUGGGGACAUUGGAGCUGCUCUGUGUCCCUCCCCUGUGUUUGUGUCCCCAUGGUGGCCCUUGGGGACAUCAGAGAUCCUUUGUGUCCCCCAGCCCUGUUCCUGUCCCCGAGGUGGCCCUUGGGGACACUGGUGUCACCAUAAACCGCCUUUGUCACUCC